AUGACGAGGGUGAAGAAUAGUUACUAUGUACUUUCAGGAGAACCUGAACCAAAGCGCACCAUGUCAAACACUCACAGCAUUGGGAAGGUAAUGUUCCUAACAGCUGUUGCUAGGCCUCGAUAUAACAAUGAGGGGGAGCUAACAUUCGAUGGGAAGAUCAGCAUUUGGGCAUUCGUCGAAGAGAUUGAGGCGAAGCGGACAAGUCAGAACAGAACAAAAGGGACAAAAGUGUUGACAUCAGUGAAAGUAACCAGGCCCGUGUGCAGAGAUUAUCUAAUCAAUAAGGUUAUCCCAACAAUUCAGGAUAAGUGGCCUGACGAUGAUGAGGGAGCAACAAUAUGCAUCCAAUAG
rnacentral:rRNA from 1 species